rnacentral:lncRNA from 1 species
GUCGGAAAGCGGCCUUCUGGGACUCCGCAAACUCCCGUUCUCCCUCCCCCCUCCCCCUUGCCAUUCCCUUUGCCUUCCGGGCGCCAAGUCUCUCUGGCCUCCAAGGUGAACCCAACUCCCCAGCGCGCCCCGGGUUCCCGGGUCGGGCCGGCUUCAGGCGGUGGGGAGCGGGAUCCCGGGCCCCGGGCGGGCGGGAGGGACGGGACGCGGUGCAGUGUUGUUUUUUCCCCCGCCAAUAUUGCACUCGUCCCGGCCUCCGGCCCCCCCGGCCCCCCGGCCUCCCCGCUACCCCUAGCGGGGCAGCCCCCGCCCUCCUGGCUCUCCAUCCCGGCGGAUCUUUGAUAGACUGGAGUGUCGCCGCUGCCACCGGCUUGCUGCCUCCACCUGGGCAAAGGCAACACCAGUCUAACGUGCUCUGGGUCCGCAGGCUUACCAUCUGAGUCCUUCUGAUUGGGAUUGGGUACCAGGCGGCAGUUAUCGGGACCAGGAGGCACAUAAUCUGGGAUGCCAUCAUUGUCAUCAUCCCCAUCACACUCAUCUCCAAGUCCAUCGUUAUCAGAGUCCAGCUGGGAGCUAUUUGGCAGCUGUGGGCAGUUGUCCUUGGUGUCCUGAUGCCCAUCCCCAUCGCUAAUCAGAAGAACAGGUUGGUGAAAGUCCCGAACUUUGUCUCCCCACCCAGAGGACAACUGGCCAGGAAAUCUGCCUGUUUCUUGUCUCACCCUCUAGUCCACACUCUGCCUAACACUACGCCCUACCUCACAUUCCUAUUGACAUCUGCUGCAGAUCACACCCUUGUGAUGGACAAACUGCUCAGUACAGUCCCACCCACCCAGCCUCCUUGUCCUGGGCACGAGGUUUUUGCCUCCCUGAUUUGGAGUAUUUGGCCCUUACUAGAGAGCUGCCAGAUGAGAACUCAGAGGCUCCUCCCGGCUCACCUGCAUCCUCAAAUACGCCUUCUGUCCAGUCCUAAUCUCCAGCCCAUCGACCUCCGCUGGAGGAAUGGGGGCCAGUGCUGGAAGGCCUGCAUGUUGGUCACCCAGUUUGCAGUCCACGUAGAGAUGUAGGGCAGGGCUGGGUCUGGAGGGACCUCGGAGUCGCAGGAGAACUGUGUGUGUGCGCCCAUCAGCCAGGCCCGCUUGCUGUAGGUUCACGGCGUGGACUUUGCCAUCCUCCCGCUGGUAUCGCACCAGUACUGCCCAGGAGGGGAGAUCAGUAUGGGCGCUAUCCCCCACCCCCUGCCUCCCAGCUGAGCCUUGGAUCAACUCUGCUAGAUACCACAUCUCUAGGGCCCCUAUCCCUAAUUCUACUAUGUGGCUCUCAACACCUUGUAUUUAAUAGGUACACAAUAAAUGUUUUUGAAAUUGC